CUACGGGCUGCAGCAGUGAGGAAUAUUGCACAAUGGGGGGAAUCCUGAUGCAGCAACGCCGCGUGGAGGAUGACGCAUUUCGGUGUGUAAACUCCUUUUAUAUGUCAAGAAAAUGGCGGUAGCAUAUGAAUAAGCACCGGCUAACUCCGUGCCAGCAGCCGCGGUAAUACGGAGGGUGCAAGCGUUACUCGGAAUCACUGGGCGUAAAGGACGCGUAGGCGGGUUGGAAAGUCAGGUGUGAAAUCCUACAGCUUAACUGUAGAACUGCACUUGAAACUUCUAAUCUAGAGUAUGGGAGGGGGAGAUGGAAUUAGUGGUGUAGGGGUAAAAUCCGUAGAUAUCACUAGGAAUACCUAAAGCGAAGGCGAUCUCCUGGAACAUUACUGACGCUAAGGCGUGAAAGCGUGGGGAGCAAACAGGAUUAGAUACCCUCGUAGUC
rnacentral:rRNA from 1 species